rnacentral:tRNA from 1 species
UCCCAUGUGGCUCAGUUGGUAGAGCAUGGUGUUUGCAACGCCAGGAUUGUGGGUUCGAUUCCCACGGGGGAC